rnacentral:rRNA from 1 species
UACGUAGGUGGCAAGCGUUAUCCGGAAUUAUUGGGCGUAAAGAGCGCGCAGGUGGUUGAUUAAGUCUGAUGUGAAAGCCCACGGCUUAACCGUGGAGGGUCAUUGGAAACUGGUCGACUUGAGUGCAGAAGAGGGAAGUGGAAUUCCAUGUGUAGUGGUGAAAUGCGUAGAGAUAUGGAGGAACACCAGUGGCGAAGGCGGCUUCCUGGUCUGUAACUGACACUGAGGCGCGAAAGCGUGGGGAGCAAACAGGAUUAGA